CUACGGGAGGCAGCAGUGGGGAAUAUUGGGCAAUGGGCGCAAGCCUGACCCAGCAACGCCGCGUGAGGGAAGAAGGUUUUCGGAUUGUAAACCUCUGUCCUUGGGGACGAAGAAGUGACGGUACCCAAGGAGGAAGCUCCGGCUAACUACGUGCCAGCAGCCGCGGUAAUACGUAGGGAGCAAGCGUUGUCCGGAAUUACGGGGCGUAAAGGGUGCGUAGGCGGCAUAUUAAGUCAGGUGUGAAAUACUCGGGCUCAACCCGGGGGCUGCAUUUGAAACUAAUAUGCUUGAGUGUGAGAGAGGAAAGUGGAAUUCCUAGUGUAGCGGUAGAAUGCGUAGAUAUUAGGAGGAACACCAGUGGCGAAGGCGACUUUCUGGCUCAUAACUGACGCUGAGGAACGAAAGCGUGGGGAGCAAACAGGAUUAGAUACCCGCGUAGUC
rnacentral:rRNA from 1 species